AUUGAACGCUGGCGGCAUGCCUUACACAUGCAAGUCGAACGGCAGCACGGGUGCUUGCACCUGGUGGCGAGUGGCGAACGGGUGAGUAAUAUAUCGGAACAUACCCUAGAGUGGGGGAUAACGUAGCGAAAGUUACGCUAAUACCGCAUACGAACUAAGGUUGAAAGUGGGGGAUCGCAAGACCUCAUGCUCAUGGAGUGGCCGAUAUCUGAUUAGCUAGUUGGUGAGGUAAAGGCUCACCAAGGCGACGAUCAGUAGCUGGUCUGAGAGAACGACCAGCCACACUGGAACUGAGACACGGUCCAGACUCCUACGGGAGGCAGCAGUGGGGAAUUUUGGACAAUGGGGGCAACCCUGAUCCAGCAAUGCCGCGUGAGUGAAGAAGGCCCUCGGGUUGUAAAGCUCUUUUGUCAGGGAAGAAACGGUCUACUCUAAUACAGUGGGCUAAUGACGGUACCUGAAGAAUAAGCACCGGCUAACUACGUGCCAGCAGCCGCAGUAA
rnacentral:rRNA from 1 species